UACGGAGGGUGCAAGCGUUAUCCGGAUUUAUUGGGUUUAAAGGGUGCGUAGGCGGUAGGAUAAGUCAGUGGUGAAAUUUUGCAGCUUAACUGUAGGUGUGCCAUUGAAACUGUUUUACUUGAGUUAUCAUGAGGUAGGCGGAAUGUGUAGUGUAGCGGUGAAAUGCUUAGAUAUUACACAGAACACCGAUUGCGAAGGCAGCUUACCAAUGGUACAACUGACGCUGAGGCACGAAAGCGUGGGGA
rnacentral:rRNA from 1 species